UACGUAGGGGGCAAGCGUUAUCCGGAAUUACUGGGUGUAAAGGGUGCGUAGGCGGGCUUUUAAGUCAGCGGUAAAAAUUCGGGGCCCAACCCCGUCCGGCCGUUGAAACUGGGGGCCUUGAGUGGGCGAGAAGAAGGCGGAAUGCGUGGUGUAGCGGUGAAAUGCAUAGAUAUCACGCAGAACCCCGAUUGCGAAGGCAGCCUUCCGGCGCCCUACUGACGCUGAGGCACGAAAGUGCGGGGAUCGAACAGG
rnacentral:rRNA from 1 species